rnacentral:rRNA from 1 species
CCCUUAGAUGUUCUGGGCCGCACGCGCGCUACACUGACGAAUGCAACGAGCUUAUAACCUUGGCCGAAAGGUCUGGGUAAUCUCCAAAUUUCGUCGUGAUGGGGAUAGAUUAUUGCAAUUAUUAAUCUUCAACGAGGAAUGCCUAGUAAGCGCAAGUCAUCAGCUUGCGUUGAUUACGUCCCUGCCCUUUGUACACACCGCCCGUCGCACCUACCGAUUGAAUGGUCCGGUGAAAUCUCGGGACGGCGGCUUGGUCGCUUGCGUCCGACUGCUGAAACUUGAUUAAACCAUAUCAUUUAGAGGAAGGUGAAGUCGUAACA